UACGUAGGUGGCAAGCGUUGUCCGGAUUUACUGGGCGUAAAGGGCGUGCAGGCGGUUUGUCUAGUCUAGGGUGAAAGCUCCCGGCUUAACUGGGAGAGGUCCUUGGAUACUGGCAAACUUGAGGGAGGCAGAGGAAAGUGGAAUUCCCGGUGUAGUGGUGAUAUGCGUAGAUAUCGGGAGGAACACCAGUGGCGAAGGCGGCUUUCUGGGCCUUACCUGACGGCUGAGACGCGAAAGCGUGGGGAGCGAACGGG
rnacentral:rRNA from 1 species